ACCAAUUUUAACAUAUUUUCCCUGGUGAAACAAACUAAGAAGGAGGCAUACCAUAUAUAAUAGUUCACUACGUUUUGUCAGUUAGUGUUGUCUAUGGAAAAGAGGUUGUCCUACAAUCCCUGAUGGAUAUUUUGUCAUUCUGGAGAGAUCCAUACCCCCUUCCAGGGGGGAAACUGGGGAGAGCUUUGACUUGACCAGUCAUUUUCCUAUGUGCAUAGAUAGGUUUGAAGCCUAUACUUUCUACAGAGAAAUGGUGAGGAGGGCUCUAAGAGGGGCCUCACUAUAUGCUAUCUCUGGCUGCAGAGCUGAGGAUGAACCCAAAUCCUACAUCCUGGGAGCAGUAGCAGGAAUCUGUGCCCAUUUUCAAGUCAAGGUCUGAGUCAAACUGUUCCUGAACUUCAGGAAAGGUUUGGGGAUGUUGGAUGUUCCUGAAUCCUAAUAUUAGACAAGCAAGCAUAGAGGGACCUCAGGUCUAUCAUACUAAAAAGAGAUUCUAGCAGGAAGCAACAACAAAUGCAAUGUUUGCUUGAAAGAAUGUUAUGGAGACUAUUUACUGGGUUAGCAUGCAUACCUGCAUUGGAGAGGUCAUUUGAGAGGAGCAAGAAGCAACCACGGCCAUGUGGCCAAGGGCAGCUGAAGAC